rnacentral:rRNA from 1 species
UACAGAGGUGGCAAGCGUUGUUCGGAAUUACUGGGCGUAAAGGGCGCGUAGGCGGCCUACUAAGUCAGACGUGAAAUCCCCCGGCUUAACCUGGGAACUGCGUCUGAUACUGGAAGGCUUGAGGAUGGGAGAGGGAUGUAGAAUUCCAGGUGUAGCGGUGAAAUGCGUAGAUAUCUGGAGGAAUACCGGUGGCGAAGGCGGCAUCCUGGACCAUUACUGACGCUGAGGCGCGAAAGCUAGGGGAGCCAACGGG